GAUGAAGAACGUAGCGAAAUGCGAUAAGUAGUGUGAAUUGCAGAAUUCAGUGAAUCAUCGAAUCUUUGAACGCACAUUGCGCCUCCUGGUAUUCCGGGAGGCAUGCCUGUUCGAGCGUCAUCAAAAUCACUCAAGCUUAGGUUUACCUAUUGCUUGGUCUUGGAGAUGGAAGCCAAUUUAUUGGAAUCCUCUUCGAAAUUCAAUGGCGAAGACCCUUGCUCUCCCAAGUGUAGUAAUAACUUAUGUCACUGAAGGAAGCGAGAAAUCUUCUGCCGUAACCCCCAUAUUUUCUAUGAUUGACCUCGGAUCAGGUAGGGAUACCCGCUGAACUUAAGCAUAUCAAUAAGCGGAGA
rnacentral:misc_RNA from 1 species